UACCAGCUCUCCGAGUGGUAGGGAUGAUUAUUGGGCUUAAAGCGUCCGUAGCCGGCUUAGCAAGUUUCCUGUUAAACCCAGCGACUCAAUCGUUGGAUCGCGGGAAAUACUACUAGGCUAGGAGGCGGGAGAGGUCAACGGUACUUCUGGGGUAGGGGUGAAAUCCUAUAAUCCCGGGAGGACCACCAGUGGCGGAGGCUGUUGACUAGAACGCGCUCGACGGUGAGGGACGAAAGCUGGGGUAGCAAACCGGAUUAGAUACCCGGGUAGUCCCAGCUGUAAACGAUGCGAGCUAGGUGUUGGGAUGGCUACGGGCCAUUUCAGUGCCGCAGGGAAGCCAUUAAGCUCGCCGCCUGGGGAGUACGGCCGCAAGGCUGAAACUUAAAGGAAUUGGCGGGGGAGCACCACAAGGCGUGAAGCUUGCGGUUC
rnacentral:rRNA from 1 species